rnacentral:misc_RNA from 1 species
AGAAAUCAAAGCAUCAAGAUCUUCACCUGGGAGCUGAUACUUGAAAGAAAUAUCAGUAUCUCCACAAAGGGCAGCAAGCUUACCGAUCAUGAUGGAGAACUUGAUAUUCCGAUCAACGGCGAGAAUUUUGGUCUCGCCGCCAAUAUAUGAGAGCUGAUUAUCAUGAGGACGAGGGUGGAUCUUGCCACCAUAGCUGCACAUAAACUUAGCUUUACAAUCCUGAGCCUGCUGCUGGGAUUGGUCCUCCCACGGCGUAGGGUUCUCGAACUCAAUUUCACGGGAUCGAGGAGAAGAGUGGCCGGAAUCUGGGUAUGAAUUAUAGGUAUAGUUCUCCAUGUUUAC